rnacentral:rRNA from 1 species
GAUGAACGCUGGCGGCGUGCCUAAUACAUGCAAGUCGAACGCUUCACUUCGGUGAAGAGUGGCGAACGGGUGAGUAAUACAUAAGUAACCUGGCAUCUACAGGGGGAUAACUGAUGGAAACGUCAGCUAAGACCGCAUAGGUGUAGAGAUCGCAUGAACUCUAUAUGAAAAGUGCUACGGGACUGGUAGAUGAUGGACUUAUGGCGCAUUAGCUUGUUGGUAGGGUAACGGCCUACCAAGGCGACGAUGCGUAGCCGACCUGAGAGGGUGACCGGCCACACUGGGACUGAGACACGGCCCAGACUCCUACGGGAGGCAGCAGUAGGGAAUUUUCGGCAAUGGGGGAAACCCUGACCGAGCAACGCCGCGUGAAGGAAGAAGUAAUUCGUUAUGUAAACUUCUGUCAUAGAGGAAGAACGGUGGAUAUAGGGAAUGAUAUCCAAGUGACGGUACUCUAUAAGAAAGCCACGGCUAACUACGUGCCAGCAGCCGCGGUAAUACGUAGGUGGCGAGCGUUAUCCGGAAUUAUUGGGCGUAAAGAGGGAGCAGGCGGCACUAAGGGUCUGUGGUGAAAGAUCGAAGCUUAACUUCGGUAAGCCAUGGAAACCGUAGAGCUAGAGUGUGUGAGAGGAUCGUGGAAUUCCAUGUGUAGCGGUGAAAUGCGUAGAUAUAUGGAGGAACACCAGUGGCGAAGGCGACGAUCUGGCGCAUAACUGACGCUCAGUCCCGAAAGCGUGGGGAGCAAAUAGGAUUAGAUACCCUAGUAGUCCACGCCGUAAACGAUGAGUACUAAGUGUUGGGGGUCAAACCUCAGUGCUGCAGUUAACGCAAUAAGUACUCCGCCUGAGUAGUACGUUCGCAAGAAUGAAACUCAAAGGAAUUGACGGGGGCCCGCACAAGCGGUGGAGCAUGUGGUUUAAUUCGAAGCAACGCGAAGAACCUUACCAGGUCUUGACAUCGAUCUAAAGGCUCCAGAGAUGGAGAGAUAGCUAUAGAGAAGACAGGUGGUGCAUGGUUGUCGUCAGCUCGUGUCGUGAGAUGUUGGGUUAAGUCCCGCAACGAGCGCAACCCCCGUUGCCAGUUGCCAGCAUUAAGUUGGGGACUCUGGCGAGACUGCCGGUGACAAGCCGGAGGAAGGCGGGGAUGACGUCAAAUCAUCAUGCCCCUUAUGACCUGGGCUACACACGUGCUACAAUGGACAGAGCAGAGGGAAGCGAAGCCGCGAGGUGGAGCGAAACCCAUAAAACUGUUCUCAGUUCGGACUGCAGUCUGCAACUCGACUGCACGAAGAUGGAAUCGCUAGUAAUCGCGAAUCAGCAUGUCGCGGUGAAUACGUUCUCGGGCCU